rnacentral:rRNA from 1 species
UACGGGGGGGCAAGCGUUGUUCGGAAUUACUGGGCGUAAAGGGCGCGUAGGCGGCCUGCUAAGUCGGACGUGAAAUCCCUCGGCUCAACCGAGGAACUGCGUCCGAUACUGGUGGGCUUGAAUCCGGGAGAGGGAUGUGGAAUUCCAGGUGUAGCGGUGAAAUGCGUAGAUAUCUGGAGGAACACCGGUGGCGAAGGCGGCAUCCUGGACCGGUAUUGACGCUGAGGCGGCGAAAGCUAGGGGAGCAAACAGGG